AACGAACGCUGGCGGCAGGCCUAACACAUGCAAGUCGAGCGAGGACUUCGGUCCUAGCGGCGGACGGGUGAGUAACGCGUGGGAACGUACCCUUUGCUACGGAAUAGCCUCGGGAAACUGAGAGUAAUACCGUAUACGCCCUUUGGGGGAAAGAUUUAUCGGCAAAGGAUCGGCCCGCGUUGGAUUAGGUAGUUGGUGGGGUAAUGGCCCACCAAGCCGACGAUCCAUAGCUGGUUUGAGAGGAUGAUCAGCCACACUGGGACUGAGACACGGCCCAGACUCCUACGGGAGGCAGCAGUGGGGAAUCUUAGACAAUGGGGGCAACCCUGAUCUAGCCAUGCCGCGUGAGUGAUGAAGGCCUUAGGGUUGUAAAGCUCUUUCAGCUGGGAAGAUAAUGACGGUACCAGCAGAAGAAGCCCCGGCUAACUCCGUG
rnacentral:rRNA from 1 species